rnacentral:piRNA from 1 species
UACUCAUUAUAGGAGUUUGCAGCAGCACA